rnacentral:tRNA from 1 species
GCCCCUGUAGCUCAGUUGGAUAGAGCGGCGCCGUCCUAAGGCGCGUCGUCGGGAGUUCGAGUCUCCCCAGGGGUACCA